UGAGUUUGAUCCUGGCUCAGAACGAACGCUGGCGGCGUGCUUAACACAUGCAAGUCGAACGCGAAAGGGACUUCGGUCCUGAGUAAAGUGGCGCACGGGUGAGUAACACGCGGAUAAUCUACCCAGUGUUCCGGGAUAACAUCUCGAAAGGGGUGCUAAUACCGGAUAAGCCCACGGGAACUUCGGUUCUUGCGGGAAAAGGUGGGGACCUUUUAGGCCUACUGUCACUGGAUGAGUCCGCGGCCCAUUAGCUAGUUGGUAGGGUAAUGGCCUACCAAGGCUACGAUGGGUAGCUGGUCUGAGAGGAUGAUCAGCCACACUGGAACUGAGACACGGUCCAGACUCCUACGGGAGGCAGCAGUGGGGAGUUUUGCGCAAUGGGCGAAAGCCUGACGCAGCAACGCCGCGUGAGUGAUGAAGGCCUUCGGGUCGUAAAGCUCUGUCAGUGGGGAAGAACCGCCGGGUGGUUAAUACCUGCCUGGUCUGACGGUACCCACAAAGGAAGCACCGGCUAACUCCGUGCCAGCAGCCGCGGUAAUAC
rnacentral:rRNA from 1 species